AAUCAUCAAAGACCCCUUUCUUUGAAGGGAUUUUUGGACUUGGAGGUCUCAUGCUCGCUUUUGCUUUCGAAAGUGAGCUCCUCUUAAAUGAAUUAGUGGGGUCUGCUUUGCUGGUCCUUGACGUGAUAAGGUGUUUCUACGUUUUGGAUUUGGCACUGUUCCUUGGAUGCCUGCUUCUAAUCGUCUCUCGAGACAAUGAUGGCGUUUCGGUCACCGGCCAAAUCUACAUUGGCGGGCGGGAGGCUGGACCCACAAAAAGAAAAGA
rnacentral:misc_RNA from 1 species